CCAGAGAACUUAGCAGAGAUGCUUUGGUGCCUUCGGGAACUCUGAGACAGGUGCUGCAUGGCUGUCGUCAGCUCGUGUUGUGAAAUGUUGGGUUAAGUCCCGCAACGAGCGCAAACCCUUAUCCUUUGUUGCCAGCGGCUCGGCCGGGAACUCAAAGGAGACUGCCGGUGAUAAACCGGAGGAAGGUGGGGAUGACGUCAAGUCAUCAUGGCCCUUACGGCCAGGGCUACACACGUGCUACAAUGGCGCAUACAAAGAGAAGCGACCUCGCGAGAGCAAGCGGACCUCAUAAAGUGCGUCGUAGUCCGGAUUGGAGUCUGCAACUCGACUCCAUGAAGUCGGAAUCGCUAGUAAUCGUAGAUCAGAAUGCUACGGUGAAUACGUUCCCGGGCCUUGUACACACCGCCCGUCACACCAUGGGAGUGGGUUGCAAAAGAAGUAGGUAGCUUAACCUUCGGGAGGGCGCUUACCACUUUGUGAUUCAUGACUGGGGUGAAGUCGUAACAAGGUAAGCGUAGCGAG
rnacentral:rRNA from 1 species